GACGAACGCUGGCGGCAUGCCUAAUACAUGCAAGUUGAACGAUGAUAUUCUCUGCUUGCCGAGUAUUGAAGAGUAGCGAACGGGUGAGUAACACGUGGGUAACCUGCCCAUGAGAGGUGGAUAACAUUCGGAAACGGAUGCCAAUACCGCAUAAUGCUUUGGACCGCCUGGUCCAGAGACUAAUGACGGCUUUUGCUGUCACUCAUGGAUGUCUCCGCGCCGUAUUAGCUAGUUGGUGAGGUAAUGGCUCACCAAAGCUGUGAUACGUAGCCGACCUGAGAGGGUGAUCGGCCACACUGGGACUGAGACACGGCCCAGACUCCUACGGGAGGCAGCAGUGGGGAAUCUUCCACAAUGGGCGAAAGCCUGAUGGAGCAAUGCCGCGUGAAUGAAGAAGGUCUUCGGAUCGUAAAGUUCUGUUAUUAGAGAAGAACAAGUCAAGGAGUAACUGUCUUGGCUUUGACGGUACCUAACCAGAAAGUAACGGCUAACUACGUG
rnacentral:rRNA from 1 species